GUGGCUUAGUGGUAGAGCUCCCACUUCGUAAGCGGGAAGACUGGGUGUGAUUCCCGGC
rfam:Toxocara canis C1582272, whole genome shotgun sequence.